GACGAACGCUGGCGGCGUGCCUAAUACAUGCCAGUUGAGCGAUGAAGAUUGGUGCUUGCACCAAUUUGAAGAGCAGCGAACGGGUGAGUAACGCGUGGGGAAUCUGCCUUUGAGCGGGGGACAACAUUUGGAAACGAAUGCUAAUACCGCAUAACAACUUUAAACAUAAGUUUUAAGUUUGAAAGAUGCAAUUGCAUCACUCAAAGAUGAUCCCGCGUUGUAUUAGCUAGUUGGUGAGGUAAAGGCUCACCAAGGCGAUGAUACAUAGCCGACCUGAGAGGGUGAUCGGCCACAUUGGGACUGAGACACGGCCCAAACUCCUACGGGAGGCAGCAGUAGGGAAUCUUCGGCAAUGGACGAAAGUCUGAACGAGCAACGCCGCGUGAGUGAAGAAGGGUUUCGGAUCGUAAAACUCUGUUGGUAGAGAAGAACGUUGGUGAGAGUGGAAAGCUCAUCAAGUGACGGUAACUACACAGAAAGGGACGGCUAACUACGUG
rnacentral:rRNA from 1 species